GUGCAUUGCAGUACAUGUACUAAAAUUGGAAUGGUAUGAAGAAGAUUGGAAUGGCUUUUGCACAAGGAUGACAUGAAAGUUUGUGAAGAAUUCCCUAUUCUU